GACGUAGGGCGCGAGCGUUGUCCGGAUUUAUUGGCGUAAAGAGCUCGUAGGCGGCUUGUCGCGUCGUCCGUGAAACCUGCAGCUCAACUGCAGGCUGCGGUCGAUACGGCAGGCUAGAGUCGGUAGGGAGACUGAAUCCGUGUAGCGGUGAAAUGCGUAGAUAUCGGGAGGAACACCUGUGGCGAAAGCGGCGCACUGACCACAACUGACGCUGAGGCGCGAAAGCUAGGGGAGCAAACAGG
rnacentral:rRNA from 1 species